ACCCGCUGAACUUAAGCAUAUCAAUAAGCGGAGGAAAAGAAACCAACAGGGAUUGCCCCAGUAACGGCGAGUGAAGCGGCAAGAGCUCAAAUUUGAAAGCUGGCUCCUUCGGGGUCCGCAUUGUAAUUUGCAGAGGAUGCUUCGGGAGCGGUCCCCAUCUAAGUUCCCUGGAACGGGACGUCAUAGAGGGUGAAAAUCCCGUAUGGGAUGGGGUGUCCGCGCCCGUGUGAAGCUCCUUCGACGAGUCGAGUUGUUUGGGAAUGCAGCUCUAAAUGGGUGGUAAAUUUCAUCUAAAGCUAAAUAUUGGCCGGAGACCGAUAGCGCACAAGUAGAGUGAUCGAAAGAUGAAAAGCACUUUGAAAAGAGAGUUAAAAAGCACGUGAAAUUGUUGAAAGGGAAGCGCUUGCGACCAGACUCGCUCGCGGGGUUCAGCCGGCAUUCGUGCCGGUGUACUUCCCCGCGGGCGGGCCAACGUCGGUUUGGGCGGUCGGUCAAAGGCCCUCGGAAGGUAACGCCCCCAGGGGCGUCUUAUAGCCGAGGGUGCAAUGCGACCUGCCUAGACCGAGGAACGCGCUUCGGCUCGGACGUUGGCAUAAUGGUCGUAAGCGACCCGUCUUGAAACACGG
rnacentral:rRNA from 1 species